CGUGAGGGUGUUGUGUCUUGGCCUUUCUCUGUUGCACUUACUGGGCUGAUGAGGGAGGGGAAUGGGAAUUUGGCGGUGGCGUUGAGGCCUCGAAGCAAGGGGCUUUGUGAAGGGCAAAAUGGCGAUGGCGGCUAGUGCCAACGGGCCUCUCUGUGAUGAGAAACUUCACAGACCUGUACUGAGCUCCGUGAGGAUAAGAAACUCUGACGAGACGGGCCCUGUACAGCAGUUUUAGCUCCGGAAAAGAGCGUUUGCGAGAUACACUAGUGCUGACUUAACGUCCUCUUGUUUGCAGGGUUCAGGCUCACGUCGAAUGCUGAAGGGUCGUAAAGGGCUCUCGUUAGAAUGUGGUUUAGUUCAGAAGACUGUACAGGUUGGAGAAUGGGACAAGGCUUAUCCCUGUGUAGGUCAAACAUUGCAGUGAUGCCCCAGCAUCUCAUCACCAAUCAUAAGGAAUUCAGCUGCCUCCCAGGGUGAAUACAGCUUGUUCCUCUUGGAAUGAUUUUCCUGGGGAGGGAGACAGCAACCCAGCAAGCAGCAGUUGGUUCUUGUGAGGGUGUUCUCUUCCCUCACCACAUGUCACUGUCAGAUGAUUUGAAUUGAUAAUGCUGAUCCUCUGUGAGGUUGUCCUGGUGGUGAUAUAUUCAUCUAUCUUAACAAUGCCUAUUGAUCUGCUCUGGGUAAAAUUCCUGGAAAGAGUUGAGAGUAAGUGAAUCAGCUAGUUCCUGCAUACUUCUUUCUGGAAGGCCUCCAGAGCUGAAAGGUACCGUUGCCAGUAACCUGCUUGUUUGCUCAAAGUUCCAGCACCUUGUUUGGAGCGUGAGAAUGAUUUGAGGGGAAAGAUAAAAGCCAUAUUUCUGCUCAACUCCAGUCUGAAGUUAAGAGGUCUGAAAAAAGAAUAAAGCACAUAUAAUAGAGUUGACUCUUGGAGGACGUCAAAAUUUGGAAUUGUCAAGCCAUUAUAUAACGUAGCUGUUGAAAUUAGCAUGCAAUCAUUUCAGCCUUUCUAAAUAAAAGGUUUUUUUUUAAACCUUCA